rnacentral:lncRNA from 1 species
UUGUUCCCCUUUCUUCCAUAAGGGUUUUGUGACCAUGAUCUUGAGGUGCUCAAUUGAAAUGCCGAAUAUUAGUUAUGCUUGGAAAGAACUAAAAGAGCAACUGGGCGAGGAUAUUGAUUCCAAAGUGAAGGGAAUGGUCUUUCUGAAAGGAAAGCUGGUAAGGCUGGGCCCUUUCUCAGACUUCACUUUGGUUCAGUAGCUGAAUGUGGGCAGUAAAACAGAAUGAUGUCUUCUUGGUGUUCUGUGGGGAGGCUGCCUUUAUUUUUUCACUCUGUGCCUGCACUGACCCCUGCAAUUGUGGGGGGCUCUUAGUUACUGACAACUAACUACCCGUGUCUAUGUUUCCAGCCCAAACCAUUCUGUACACCAUGCAAGCCGAAAAGAUCAAAUUACUGCACUGAUAACUUCACAUGGCUUAAUUAAGUAACUAAUUCAGCAUAUUUCCUUUUUUGGUGGUAGCGGGGAUGGGAUUCAAUUUACAUGCUAUGCAAGUACUCUAUAACACUGAGCUAAGCCAGCCUACCCUCCCCCGCGCCCCCCCCCCUUUUUUUUUAUCUUUUUUUGAGACAAUGUCUCACUAAAUUACUGAGGCUCGCUUCUAAUUUGCAAUCCUCCUAUCUCAAUCUCCUGAGAAGCUAGGAUUACAGGCAUGUACCAACAUGCCUAGCUUUAGUUCAUGUUCUUGAAUUCAGGUUCAAAAUUUGAAUUUUUGCUGGGUACAGUGGUGCACACUUAUAGCCUCAGCAACUUCGUGAGGCCCUUACCAACCUAGUGAAAUUCUGUCUCAAAAUAAAAAAUAAUAAGGGAUAGGGUUGUGGCUCAGUGGUUAAGUGCCCCUUAGCUAAUCCCUGGCACAAUAAAUAAAUAAAUAAAUAAUUCUUGCCUGCCAAACCUAGAAAACUUCAUUUUUCCUUUAUGGGAAAAUGAGUGAAAGGCACAGAUUUAUUAUGAAGAUAGUUUUAACUGGAAUCCUGAAGAGCCUUAGGUUUCCAAAGGUGCACUGCUGGUGAAAGAAAUCAUAUUUACCCCAAAGGUAUGUGGAGUUGCUUGAGGUAAACAGUGUGAUCAAACAGGCAGUGAGCUGUCUUCAGGUAAAGGUAAACCUGCCCUGGUUACCAGUUUCAGCUCCAUCUCAUCAUCCCCAACACCCUUUACUCUGGCUGUGCCAAGUACACCAUGCUGUCUUCAUUCAUGAGUGAAGACUGAGCCCCUACUUUUCCAGUAUUUUACUGUCCACAGUGUCCCUUAAAGUUCCCUGUAAAGCUUUGCUGUCCUUACCAGGCAGAGUUAGGGGCAUCGUUAUCUGUACUUCAGAGUUCUUAGAACAUAAUAUUUAUUUAGGUAAUUUUUGCCUUGCUGUCAUUUGCUUUCUGACUGAAAUCCUCAAGAGCACUGUGAUCUACACAGUGGUAAAAAUAUGCAUUCUAAUCAUCUGUACCCCAUUGAAUGAUAUUGUACUCUAAACACUAAGUAAGUAUGUGAAUGGAGAUUCCCAUGAUUGACAGAAUCCAUCAGUACCUAAUGAUACUCAUGUUAGCAUUGGGCGAACUGCUGGGCAAAAGGGGUGCUUCUGAUAAAAUCCUGUAGUUAAAAGACAAUAGGGAGAGGAGUGACUGUCUGUUACAGGGUAGUUUUUGACAGGCUUGUGGGUAUCUUCCCUUGGAGAGGAGGGCACUUACCAUCAAAGAUCUUAUCCUAUAGCAUUAACUUUUUCAUCCUCUUUCACAGGUGGCUGAAUUAUGAAAAACUAGAAAAUUACGUUUUUGUUGUUGUUAUUUGUUUUGUUUUGUUUCUUGCUCUUAGUUUGGUCGUUCUAAAUAGCUGGCAGUGCUUUUCUAAUGGAAGGCAGUAAAGUGUAAUGGUUUUUAAGCCCUACACACCAUAUUUUAAAUACCUGCCCCACUUAAAUCGUUGUGGGGCUUUACACAAGUCAAUCAGACUCUCCAAUUUUGUUUCUUCAGCUAUAAAAUAUAGCUAGUAGCCUUUCUGUACCAUCCCACAAGGUCCAACUUAACUCUUUCUCUUUAUUAAAAAAAAAAAGAAAAAAGUAGUUGAGAGGUACUCAAGGAUUAAGCACAGUGUGAUAGCCAAGAAUAUAUCUACAGUCAAGAAGUUCCAAAUUGUUUUGAGUCCUUCUUAACUGUUCCUUGACUUUCUGCUUUUGUGUUUUGGGUAACUGUAGUGUAUUGGCUUUAGACUAGAGUUCAUUUAAAAUUAAUAUUUGAAAGCUGGUAUAUGCCUGGGAGGCUGAGGCAGGAGAAUCAUGAGUUCAAGGUCAGCCUCACCCUUUUUCUAAAUAAAUACAUAAAACUGGGUGAAUUUUAUUAUUUUCUUUGCAAUACUUGUAUUUAUGGUAUCACUUAGUGUGUAUUGAUUAUAUUAACUUAUAUUUUCUUUGAUUUCUAGGGUGUUUGUUUUGAUAUCCCUACUGCAGCAGUCACAGAAAUACAGGUAUUUUCUCUUGGACUUUUUGUUUUUACAGUACUGGAGGUUGAACCCAGGGCUUUACACAUGCUCAGCAAGUGCUCCAACACUGAACUAUACCUUCCCCCCUUUCUCCUGGACAUUUUAAAGUUAAUAUACAUAAGCUGGGAAGUGUUCAUUGUGAAAAUACAGAAUGAUAGGGUGGCGGACACGACAGCUCUGGUCUCUUAUCAAAAGACAGUUGAGAAUUACAUCUUGGUACUUUUUUCUCCUGUCCUUUUUAUUCUCACAUUUGUUGUUGAGCCUGCCUUUUUUCCUUUCUGGAGUUGUGAGUGAUGUCCAGGCCCUCCCCACCCACCUUAUACAUGUUUUCGUACACAUUUUAACUUGAGAGAUGGAUUUGUAAAUGUGCAUUUGUUUUAUUACCCCUGACAGCUAGAGACCAAGUAGAGGUGAAAUGAAAAAAUGAUGCAGUGAGGAGGCUCCAAGUGAAAAUUAUUUUUUAGUGGCAUCUGGGCUAUGAGAGUCAGUAUUUGGAACAAAUGGCCUUUUAACACUUAUGUUAUCAACCUAGUUGUUUGUUGGAGAAAUGACAACAAUGUUGUUUUUUUCAUGCCUUUUAAACCAUUUGAAUAAAAAUCAAAGGUGAAAACAGAACUUUCUCUCAACAGGAGAAAUGGCAUGAUUCACGACGCUGGCAGCUCACUGUGGCCACAGAGCAACCUGAGCUGGAAGGACCACGGGAAGGAUAUCGAAGCUUCAGGGGUCAGCGAGAAGGCAGCCGUGGUUUCAGAGGACAGCGGGAUGGAAAAAGAAGCUUCAGGGGACAGCGGGGAGGAAGCAGAAACUUCAGAGGAGGAUCAGGAGGUGGAAACAAAAGCAACAGAUCCCAAAACAAAGGCCAGAAGCGGAGUUUUAGUAAAGCAUUUGGUCAGUGAUUAGAAGUAGAGGAUUUGUGUGGCAGAAACAGGACUAUGGCACUAUGGAACUGAGUGGUAUUUUUCACACAGAAUUAAAGGCAGGUUGUUUCCUUUUGACCACUUGGCCAGUCCAUAUCCCCAGAAGAAAGACAGGCUUAAUCUAAAUUAUUUCAUCUGAUCAUUAUCAUUUCUAACUUUAUUGCUUUUAUUGGGUUUUCCUUUUGAAAAGUAAUGAAUUGAUUACAUUGUUAUUCUGAUAUAUUCUCUGUAGAUAUAAGAUAGAAUCAAGCAUGUAUGUCUAUACUUGUAAGUUGAUCUUCUUGUGUUUGUGUGCUGGGGAUUGAACCCAGGGCCUCCCACAUGCUAAGCAUGUGCCCUGUCACUAAGCUACUUAAUAGUAGCUUAAUAGUGUGCUCUUAAUAGUAUCCUCUUAAUAGUAUGCUCUUAAUUGUAUGCUUCCCUAAAGUAAAUAUUUACGGGAAUACAAUAAUCUGUGAAGGACCACAUUAGCCUUUAAAAGUCAAAAGCUUUGUUUUGUAAUUGGUAUCUUCAGCCUCCUGCCAGGUACUUAGUUGUGUGGUUCUCUAAUUUGCCUUCUGAGAAUUUAUACUGAGCAAUGUUUUGAAAUGAGUUUCAAACUUAGCUAGGUUGUGAUAGUUUAUGCCUGUGUAUAUGGUCUAGAUUUGAAGGAUGAAAUAACAUUCAAUAUAGGUUACCCAUGGUCAUGUGCAUUUUUAAACGCUUUUAGCUUCUCACUGUAAGGUGAGUCAUGCUUCAGUAAGUUCUUCACAGAUAAUAUAUAUAGAGAGAGAAAUACAUUUUGAUAGAAAGCCUGUGACUUUAAGGAAUUCCAAAUGUAUAAGAUGGCUCUGUAGCUUUCUUUGUAAAUAAGGAGGCUAGAUAAAUAGUGUUUGAAUGAUUGUACUCCACUUCUUCCUAUUGGAAGAUCAACAUUAUUAAGAAGGAAUUAAGGGAAUAGGGGACACAGGUUUGUGUAGAGUAUGUGCAAAAAAACUCACUAAAAAUAUUCUUUACAUGUAAGAAGGAAUAUUAAUAAGUGAAAAGCAAAGAGUACAAGUGAAGAUGCAUGAUAAAACAUUAUUUUAAUGAUUGAUGUGUAUUUCAAGAGGUUUACUUUUAAUGGGCAAACUGGGGUUUUGGGGGAGAAUGGUCUGCUGUAGUUUCUCAAUAGCCUAGAUUUUAAAGCCACAGAGUAGGACCUGUUUCUGUAAAACUGAUUCUCUCUUGAAAUGCUUUCAUUGAUUUAGAGACUUCCUUUAAGACAAACUGAAUGGUUAUUUAAGUUGUUUCUCUGUGGGAACUGAAUACUUAUUGUAGUUCCUGUCAGAUAACUACACCUGAGGACUUCAGUGUUUGUUGGAAACAUUCUACACAGCAUAGGUGCUCCAGAGUGGCAUUGUCCUCUUGCCUUAAUUUCUAGAAAUUGUCUUUGGUCUGUUUUUUUCCUCUAAUUGCCUCUCACUUGAUCAACUAGCAAAAAGGGGCUCUGAUAGCCAAUUUAGCUCCUGAUCAUUGAAAACAUCCUUUUUCUGUUUGAGCUUCAGUUUUAUCCGUAAGUCUGGGACCAGGUAUUUCUUGCUGUUUGAGAAUUCUCUUGGCCUUUUAUUCUUUUAUCCAUUUGUCAAUUUUAUCACUUUGUUUUUAUUCCUCAUGGAUUCCCAUCAAGCCACAGGGAAUUAGGAAAAGGUAUUUGAUGACAGUCCACAUGUGCCUUUGGGUUAUAAUUUAUUAGAUUCUGGUUUUGUUCAGAUACUUGGACAUGCUUUAGUAGAAACUAAAACAUCUAACAAUUUGGAUAGGAAUGGGUAACCUCAGGCAGUUUUGAAGACUAUAGUAACUGUGCAUGAUGGGAGUACACACCUGUAAUCCCAGCUGUUAUGGAGGCUAAGUCAAGGAGGAUCACAAGUUUGAGGCCAGCCUGGACAAAUGAUGAUAUUUUGUCUCAAUGAAAUUUUGAAAGGGGCUGGAUGUGGUAGAGCACUUGCCUAGCAUGUGAGACCUUGGGUUCGAUCCCAAGUACUAAAAAGAUUUGAUAGCUAUCCUUUAUGAAAGAUAGCUAAACCUUUUUUAUGUGGAUUAUGGAUUAGCCUAAAUUAGAAAAAUGAUCAGGCAUAAUGAAGAGUGAAAAGGAAGAGUAAUAGGAAUUUCACUUUAUACAACUUAAUUUUAAGAAAAACAUGGCUCUUUCAAUAAACGAAGCUAACAUUUCUUUUGGAUUCCAGAAUUCAAACCAUAUUUAUAAGUGUAUAAUUGAGCUGUUAUUUGGUUUAAGUGGACUUUUUGGGCUAGCCUGGGAAAUGUUAUCAUUUUUACUGUUUUCUACAGAGAAAAUAUUUUCAGAGUUAUGUGUCAAAUAAUUCAACAGACUUAAAAAUUACAACCCAUUUUUGUGUUGGAGCUCUGUGCAGUGUUUCCUCUGCAGUUGUACAUAAAAUGUUUUUACUGUAAAUGAGUUAAUAUAACAUGUUACUUUAUGCCAUAAUAAAAAAAGAUAUUAGUACUUUAUGGUUUUGGUGGCUUUUUGUUUUCUAAAAUGAAAAUAGCCCAAAAUCAUAUUAUAAAAACAAUAAAAGUUGACCAUAAAAAUCUAAGAAUAAAAACAAAGUCAAGAGUCACACCAUGUCUGAUAUUUUGGUGAGCAAUAUUCCGUAUAUUCAUUUAUAAAAUUAGAGUCAUCCAGUUUUGUGACUUAUCUGGAAUUGUUUCUCUGCCCCCCCAACGUUCUGUGCACACCUUUCUGUAAACACAGAUCUAGGAUGACUGUUUCUUAGUGUUUUGGCACAGAGGAUUGAACUUCAGUACUUUACCACUUAGCUAUUCCCCCAAGUUCCCUGCCCCCUCCCCUUUUAUUUUUUAAAGAUUUGAGAUGGUCUCACUGAAUUGCUGAGGCUGUCCUCAAACUUGGGCUCCUCCUACCUUAGUCUCUCAAGUAGCAGGGAUUAUAGGUGUGUGCCACCAUUACCCACUCCAGUGAUAUUUUUGAUACCGUGUUUUCUCAAAUAGAUAAGCCACUACACAUUUAACUCAGACUGGCUAACCACAUCGGUAUUUCCUCAUUUUUCACUAUCUUAGGCAACUCUACAGUUAUAGCCUACUUUAUAUCUGUAUAUUUGUCUGUUAUUUUAGGAUAUGUUUUCUAAAAGAAUUGCAGAAUGAAAGUGAAUGUACUUGAGUUUUUGGUGUAAAUUGCUCUCCAAAUUAGUACCAAUUUACAUUUCAAUCAAUGUCUCUGAGAACCUGUUUCCCUGCACCACUGCACAAUUAGAUUUUAUCUUUUUCAGUUUGCUAGGCACCAAAUAAAAUUGCAUUGUUUUAUUUGCAUUCUUUAAUUGAGGAAUAACAUCUCAUAAUGGCUAUUUAUGUUAUUUUUAUUCAUUAAACAUUUGUCAGUUUUUAAAUUGGGAGCUGUCUUUUGUUGAUAAGAGUUCUUUAUUAUUAGCAUGUAACAUUUUCCAAAUUCAUUUGUAUUUCAACUGAAGUGUUUUUUUGACAUGGAAUUUUAUAUUUUUAUGCAAAUGUAACCCGUCUUUUAUUGUUUUUAUUAUCAAGGAAAUGCCUAAAUAAACUCUCAAGUUUCACUUGCUCCUAAUUGACUUAAAAAUCACUAAUUUUGG